rnacentral:rRNA from 1 species
GACGUAGGGCGCGAGCGUUUGUCCGGAUUUAUUGGGCGUAAAGGGCUCGUAGGCGGCCAACUAAGUCAGACGUGAAAUCCCUCAGCUUAACUGGGGAACUGCGUCUGAUACUGGAUGGCUUGGAUUCGGGAGAGGAAUGCGGAAUUCCAGGUGUAGCGGUGAAAAUGCGUAGAUAUCUGGAGGAACACCGGUGGCGAAGGCGGCAUUCUGGACCGAUAUUGACGCUGAGGAGCGAAAGCCAGGGGAGCAAAGCGGG